ensembl:lncRNA HRG-AS1 HRG and FETUB antisense RNA 1
AGACGGGAGAAAGCUUAGUCCUAAAAGGGAAGUGAGGAAAGCUGAUAAGCAACCUCAUCUAAGCUGCGGAAAGACCCCAAAGACAAGGAACUGGCGGCACCAUGUGCCUUUGGACAUGGGGACGUGAGAGUAAAACAUGGACGCUGGUUGAAAAUCUGUUGAAAACGCAGUGGAACUUCAGGAAUUUCUUCCCCUGCCACAGGCUGGAGCGCAAUGGUGCGAUCUUGGCUCACCGCAAUCUCUGCCUCCCGGGUUCAAGCAAUUCUCCUGCCUCAGCCUCCGAGUAGCUGGGAUUACAGGUUGCUGGCAGAGGUGGUUGGGGCUAUGUGCCUGGAGUGAAGAUUCUGCCCAUUGGUCAAGAGACCUCCCUCUCAGAUGCUGGCUCUGCCCCUGCCUUUGGGGGUCGACCCUUGUACU